rnacentral:lncRNA from 1 species
GCUUUCAUCCCUGGUGCUUCUUUCUACAAAGUCUUAAUUCAUAUUGGCAACUCGGUUGGCAUACCUCCAACUAUUAGAGAUUACAAGAAUCUUGAAGGUAAAAGAUAUGACAGAUUUCACAUAUUGGAGCAAGUGUUACGUGAUUGAAAUAAAUGAAUAACUGAGAGAUCAAUAUGGUCUAUAGAACUCGGUGUUGCGUGUCUAAUUUAAGACACUACUAAAGGUAGUUAACCUUCUUGUAAUGUACAACACACACAAGUGAUGGCGUCCCAUCCAACUCCUAUCACACAGACAGGUAGUCCU